AUUGAACGCUGGCGGCAGGCCUAACACAUGCAAGUCGAGCGGUAACACAGGGAGCUUGCUCCCGGGUGACGAGCGGCGGACGGGUGAGUAAUGUCUGGGAAACUGCCUGAUGGAGGGGGAUAACUACUGGAAACGGUAGCUAAUACCGCAUAACGUCGCAAGACCAAAGAGGGGGACCUUCGGGCCUCUUGCCAUCAGAUGUGCCCAGAUGGGAUUAGCUAGUAGGUGGGGUAACGGCUCACCUAGGCGACGAUCCCUAGCUGGUCUGAGAGGAUGACCAGCCACACUGGAACUGAGACACGGUCCAGACUCCUACGGGAGGCAGCGGUGGGGAAUAUUGCACAAUGGGCGCAAGCCUGAUGCAGCCAUGCCGCGUGUAUGAAGAAGGCCUUCGGGUUGUAAAGUACUUUCAGCGGGGAGGAAGGUGCUGAGGUUAAUAACCUCAGCAAUUGACGUUACCCGCAGAAGAAGCACCGGCUAACUCCGUGCCAGCAGCCGCGGUAA
rnacentral:rRNA from 1 species